CGCCGACCCUCUCCCCCCUCCCCCAAUUCUCUCUCUCUUCAGAUCUUUUUCUCUGUUUUUUCUUGCUUUUGUUUUCUCCCAUCCCAAACACCGAAACCCGACCGAAUGAAACCGAAAUCCUUGAUAAAAUAUGACAAAAUUUUCCGCCCUUGAAAAAGCCCACAAAUUUUUUUUUUAAAAAGAUAGCCACAAAGCAAAAAAUUCUACUUUAGUUCACUCUCUCACAGAAACUGAGAAAGCACAAAUCCAAACUCAUAGCUCGACUCGACGAUCACGGAAAUCGCACAUCUCCGAUUAGGUACGAAUUGAUCUCGGCAAUGUGUGACUCUUCGUCUUUUGGCGUGGGGCAUACGAGUUAUUCCGAUUAGACAUCAUCUUUCUUUCUUCACUUUUUGAAGGUUCAGUUUACAGAGAAAAGAAUACAGAUUGAAGGGAAGCAACCUUCUAGUUUAUUUCUUGCUUCUAUAUCUCUUCUUCUCAGUGAGCAGGUGCCUUUUGCAGGUGACUUGGCAGUGUAAGUACUCUUCAACUUUAACUUAGUAAAAUUGAACUUUUACUACAGUUAUAGCUUUUAAUCUCAAUAAAAUGGAGAGAUAUCCUGUGACUUUACAAAAUUCAAUUGUCAUAAAAAUAAAAAAUCCAUGUAGUAAUCAGAAAUAAAGUCUUUGUGAAAUGGAGAGGUAGUAAAUGAGCAUUGAUAGUAUAAAAUGGGUUUUGUUGGGUUUUAUAGUUGUGUGGAAACCCAGGAAAGAUAAUGCCAAGAUACUGGGAUUUUCCCUGUUCCCUUAUUUGUUUUCUUCUCUUCAUUACUGGAAGAAACAUAGUGCUCUGUUAUAUUCUAUUGAAAAUCAGUGAGUUUUCUCCUAUUGUUUUGAGCAUUAACUAGGGGUUUUGCUUUCAUUUCUUAGCUGAUUCUAGAGAGAAAAAAAAAAAAAAAAAA